rnacentral:tRNA from 1 species
UGGAGUGUAGCUCAGUAGUGGAGUACUUGCCUAUCAUGCAAGAGGCUCUGGGUUUGAUCACCAGCCCCUUAA